GAUGAACGCUGGCGGCGUGCCUAAUACAUGCAAGUCGAGCGAACAGAUAAGGAGCUUGCUCCUUUGACGUUAGCGGCGGACGGGUGAGUAACACGUGGGUAACCUACCUAUAAGACUGGAAUAACUCCGGGAAACCGGGGCUAAUGCCGGAUAAUAUUUAGAACCGCAUGGUUCUAAAGUGAAAGAUGGUUUUACUAUCACUUAUAGAUGGACCCGCGCCGUAUUAGCUAGUUGGUGGGGUAAUGGCUUACCAAGGCAACGAUACGUAGCCGACCUGAGAGGGUGAUCGGCCACACUGGAACUGAGACACGGUCCAGACUCCUACGGGAGGCAGCAGUAGGGAAUCUUCCGCAAUGGGCGAAAGCCUGACGGAGCAACGCCGCGUGAGUGAUGAAGGUCUUCGGGUCGUAAAACUCUGUUAUUAGGGAAGAACAAAUGUGUAAGUAACUGUGCACGUCUUGACGGUACCUAAUCAGAAAGCCACGGCUAACUACGUGCCAGCAGCCGCGGU
rnacentral:rRNA from 1 species